rnacentral:lncRNA from 1 species
CUAUUUCAGCCACUUUGUGCUGCCUGAACUUCAGAGCAAGUCGUUAAUCAAAUGUUCUUGUCCUAGGAGAUCUGGUAAGAAGCAUCAGAUGGGAUCUGUGUGGGGAAUGUAAGCUGAAUGAAGAGAUGAUACAAUAUAGAUCUGUAGAAGGUAGAAUUCUGUAUUACGGCCUUCUCCAAGUCAUCAUCAACCUACACACCUGACUUACUGUGUGGCCCAGCUCAAUGGGGUUGUCCUGACUGGGAUCAUAAGCCCGGAGUGGAAUUUCAGCCCUUCACGGCCAGCCCAGCCACAGCGAAUGGAGUGGAUGCUAACCUGUCUUUGGCCAUAAGUGGAAGCAUUCCCUGAAGGAGGGAAGGCUGCAGAUCCACGAUUCACAGAAGGUAACCUAGAUGGAGAUCAUGGAGUUUGAUGGAUCAGCUUUCUCACCUUUUCGUUCAUGAGUAUUGCUCCAAAACUUCCAGAAAGCAAGCACUUAGACCUUAGUCUAGCAAAGCACUGAAGUGAUGCCUUCAAAGACAAUGUCACUGCACCUAGAGUUCCGCUGACGAGCUGAGGCCCUAAUUCAUGGCAGGAGUCAUCCACAGAUGUCUGUUUUGGCAUAAAUGCAUGUAUUAUGGUUUGCUACACUUGAGUUUU